rnacentral:rRNA from 1 species
GAGCCAAGGCGGACGGGUGAGUAACGCGUAAGGAACUUGCCCCGCAGACAGGGAUAACAGACGGAAACGACUGAUAAGACCUGGUGUUGUCAGGCUGACGCAUGUCAGGCUGAUGAAAGGAGACGCUGCGGGAGAGUCUUGCGUCCUAUUAGCUUGUUGGUGGGGUAACGGCCCACCAAGGCGAUGAUAGGUAGCCGGCCUGAGAGGGUGAACGGCCACAAGGGGACUGAGAUACGGCCCUU